GCCCCCAUCGUCUAGCCCGGUCAAGGAUGACAGCCUCUCGAGCUGUAGGCGCGAGUUCAAAUCUCGCUGGGGGCA
rnacentral:tRNA from 1 species